CGUGAAGUUGGAAUCGCUAGUAAUCGCGGAUCAGCAUGCCGCGGUGAAUACGUUCCCGGGCCUUGUACACACCGCCCGUCACACCAUGAGAGUCGGGAACACCCGAAGUCCGUAGCCUAACCGCAAGGGGGGCGCGGCCGAAGGUGGGUUCGAUAAUUGGGGUGAAGUCGUAACAAGGUAAC
rnacentral:rRNA from 1 species